AACGAACGCUGGCGGCAUGCCGAACACAUGCAAGUCGAACGAGAUCUUCGGGUCUAGUGGCGCACGGGUGCGUAACGCGUGGGAAUCUGCCCUUUGGUUCGGAAUAACAGUUGGAAACGACUGCUAAUACCGGAUGAUGACGAAAGGCCAAAGAUUUAUCGCCAGAGGAUGAGCCCGCGUAGGAUUAGCUAGUUGGUGUGGUAAAGGCGCACCAGGGCGACGAUCCUUAGCUGGACUGAGAGGAUGAUCAGCCACACUGGGACUGAGACACGGCCCAGACUCCUACGGGAGGCAGCAGUGGGGAAUAUUGGACAAUGGGCGAAAGCCUGAUCCAGCAAUGCCGCGUGAGUGAUGAAGGCCUUAGGGUUGUAAAGCUCUUUUACCCGGGAUGAUAAUGACAGUACCGGGAGAAUAAGCUCCGGCUAACUCCGUGCCAGCCGCCGCAGUAA
rnacentral:rRNA from 1 species